AGAGAGAGAGGGAGGGAGAAGGAGCGAGAGAGAGAGAGAGAGAGAGAGAUAGAGAAGAGUGGCACCCUGCGGCGCAGGGUGCGCGUCGACAGUGAAAGUUUCGACAAGACGGCUCGCGCGAUUGGCGGAGAGUAAGGUAAGUGGUGGGGGUUACGCUGACUGGCUAGCUCUCUCGGUGGCUCGCGACAAGCGUUGUUCGGUCGCUCGGCUUUAGUCAGUGGCGGACCGUCUACGGUGUCGCUUCGUAUUUGUCGUGCGGUGUUUCGCGCGUUUACCUGCCAUUUUCAUUUCGAUCUGUUUCCCUAUUAUUAUAAUAUAUAUAUUAUACAUAUAUAUAUAUAUAUAUAUCUCGUCGAAACACACGAAGUUUGAUAUACGCAAGAAAAUAGAGACGUUGUUAAUUACUUGUAUCUAUUUUAUUCUCGACAGUAUAUGCACCCACCCAUCGACCCGGCGCGCGAGGAAAGAAUAUUUUUUUACAUAUAUUUAUCGUUUUGCGUGCAAGAAAUAAACACAAGAGAGUAUAUCUCGUUCGCACGUGUCCUCACGUUUGCCUUUAAAUCGCAUUAAUCAAAGAGACGAAUAUUAAUUCCGAUUGAUUGAACGCAUUCGUCGUUUGUUUUCUAUUACAUCGGAUAUUACCGUGUUUGUGGACAACGACGUGAUCGUGGUGUUGGUAGUGGUAGUGGUGGUAGUAGUGGUGGUGGUGUUUGGUAGUGUUGGCUGUGGUAGUAGUUUCCUUACGGAAGAAAAAGAAGAAGAAGAACAAGGAAGAAGUAUAAAGAAAUAUAUAUAUAUAUAUAUAUUAUAUCUCGUUGUUGAAGAAGAAGAGGAAACAAGACUACCACUAAGGAUUUGUUCUUUUUUCGGCCGGAAGAAGAGAGAGAGAGAGAGAGAGAGAGAUAUCGCAAAAGUAGAGCGAACCAAUAGAAGGAGUACUUUGGUUCAAGUGUGUGUUAUACCAUGUGUAUGUGAGAAAGAGAGAGAGAGAUUUCAUCUGUGUCUCUCUCUGUGUUUACUCUGUCUCUCUCUCUCUCUCUCUCUCUCUAUCUCUCUCUCUAUCUAUCUAUCUAUCUAUCUAUCUAUCUGUCCUAAGUAUAUAUAUGUGUGUGUGUAUGUGAGGGAGCUCUCUGUGCGUAUAUAUGUGUGUACGUAUAUGUUGUACAAGAGGGAGAGGCUGGACCUGACCUCGAUACGGGAAUCGAGCGUUACUCUCGAAGGCCACCAAGGAAGUACACGCGCACACACUAGCACACACGCACACAUAUAUUAUAUAUAUAUAUAUAUAUAUAUAUAUAUAUAUAUAUAUAUAUAAAGAGAGAGAGAGACAGAUAGACGUGUACAUACAUAGAAGGAAGAAGGAUUUUUAAAGGCAAGAACAACAUCGUCAGAAAAAAAAUUAUUAAAGGGAAAAGAUAAUAAAGUAUAAUAAUAAAUAAAUUAAGGAGCAAGGAAGAAAAGUAUUUCGUCGGUGAAUUAAAAAAAAAAGAGAGAGAGAGAGGGAAAAAAAGAGAGAGAAAAGAAAGAAAGAGAAAAUAAGACGAAGUCGAAAAGGAGAGACUAAGAUAAACGAAGAAAAUUAAGAUCGAGAGGAUAGAUCUUUUUUAUUUUUUAUUUUUAUUUUUAAUUUUAUUUUUUCUCUCAUUUACGUGAUAAAAAGAAACGAAGAAACAAGAAGAAAAUUGUUUGACCUAUUGUACGUAUUCGUGGAAUAUUUUGUAUUGCUUGAACUCGAUUCAGCAAAGCCCAGCCAGCCAGCCAACCAGCCAGCCAGCCAGCCAGCAGCCGCCGACUCACGACGACUAGCAAUAGUCUCUAUCUAUCUCUCUCUCUCACACACACAUACACAAGCACACACUCUCUCCCACACAGAUAUACACACCACACAGGCACCGUUUCGUUCGCUCUCUCACGGGCGGCGCGCGUUCCCUUUUGCGCGAUCGUGACCCCGUUUCCUCGAUGACCGACACACCGCGACUCGACGGCGAGCGCCAUUAGCCACGACCGCGGAGAACAUACAUACAUA